rnacentral:rRNA from 1 species
AUUGAACGCUGGCGGCAUGCUUUACACAUGCAAGUCGAACGGCAACAGGCCUUCGGGCGCUGACGAGUGGCGAACGGGUGAGUAAUGCAUCGGAACGUGCCCAGAGGUGGGGGAUAACGCAGCGAAAGCUGUGCUAAUACCGCAUAUUAUCUGAGGAUGAAAGCGGGGGACUAAGCAGCAAUGUUUGGCCUCGCGCCUUUGGAGCGGCCGAUGUCAGAUUAGGUAGUUGGUGGGGUAAAGGCCUACCAAGCCGACGAUCUGUAGCUGGUCUGAGAGGACGACCAGCCACACUGGGACUGAGACACGGCCCAGACUCCUACGGGAGGCAGCAGUGGGGAAUUUUGGACAAUGGGCGCAAGCCUGAUCCAGCAAUGCCGCGUGCAGGAAGAAGGCCUUGGUUGUAACUGCUUUGUACGGUAACGAAAGGACUCUGGUUAAUACCUGGGCGUCAUGACGGUACCGUAAGAAUAAGACACCGGCU